GAAGGAAUCUCAAGACUAAAAAAGGAUGUAGCUUUUGUAGACAAUUUUAUGUGUCGAUUUGCACGUAAUUGCAAUGGGAAUUUAUCGUUUAAACGCCAAAAAGGUGAAUGAAAAGUUCAUCUCUACGAAUGAUUGAGGAUGACGAAAUACAUAGGAUAUGCAAAAAAUUAUGGAUGGUAUUUAAGGGGAAACAUUUUAAGUUUUAAAUCAGAAAAGGUUGAAAUAGUGUACUAUUGUGUUGAGUGGAGCUUGGAUGGGAUAUGUUUCAGUUCGGGUGGAUAAUGGAGCAUGAAUCAUCAAUAUAAUCCAGAAUAGCUCAAGACUCGAAAAUCUGGAGUGACACACUCACACUACUUUUCUUGCUAUGAUAAUAUUUUGAAGCACAAUCAGCACGAAUCACUUUCGCUCCUAAAUAAUAAUAAAUACUUCUCAAAUUCUGAAGACGAAAGGAUCUGAAGAAUGUUCUACACUUCUGUGUAUGACUAUUAUUUUCAACUAGUAUAAUUAUUCCAAAGGAUCUGACAAAUGAUACGUCCUGAACUAUAUCCGACUUGGACUAUAUCCGUGUUAUGUGGGACACCAACGCGUCCGGGAUGGGAUAAUUUGAUGACGCUUGUGAGAUCGCUUUACGGCGAGUAAAAAAUGUAUUCAGAGGUGGCGGUCGUAAAUAGAUCAAAUUGUCCGGCCUGAGGAAGGUGCGUGAGCGUGAACAAGUGAAGUAUUUAAUACAUAGACUCGCUCAUAUCUUAUGUACGUGUAUUUAGAGUGUAUAUACGUAUAUAGAGCGGAGCGAACAUAAUGUACUGUAGUUUGAAUGUCAAUGUCAAUGUCGAGAAGAAAGAGGUCGAUGAAUGUUUGACGAUAAAGAUGACAUGAAGAAUGCGAGUGUGAACUACGAUAGGAAAUCCCAACAAGUGUUGGCUAUUGCUUCAUUCUUAAAGAGAUUUGAUUGAUUCAUAAACGAAUACCUGAACUAAAACGUUGAAUGGUCUUGCAGAGACUCUAAUAUUGCAGAGACUUUGUGUGCAAAUUAAUUAUUCUGAGAGCUUGGCAUUGAUAUUAAAAUCGUCAUAUAAACGAUCAUUUAGUAUGAAAAGUACAGUACAGUAGUUCAUAAAAAAAAUGUGUAUCGUAUAUAUUCAACUUAUAUUCUACUGCUAUACGGUCAUUUUUUAUUGUUGUUGAUUCAUGACAAGUUGAUUUUUACUGUCGUAGAAUACGAUACGCUCAAUAUUGAAAAUUGAAAUUAUUUGUAAAUUUUAAGUUUCAAAUUAUGAAAAUUGUCUAGACCUAUCACCGUCGUCAUGGAGGCAAUGACUCAUAGAAUCAUAGACAUGAGGAAAAACUCAAAACUAAAUGUAAUAGUAUUAUUUCUUCUCAAGAAAUUUUUAUUCAAACAGUGAAACAAAAUCACUUUUGUAGCAAUAAAGAUCUAAAAUAAUAACACAAGCAUUAUUUAUAGAAUUGUAUUCUGUUUUACAGAAUUAUGAUUUAGUAAUACCGCUGAUAUGAAAACUAUUUUUAAAAAUCAUAAAAUAGCAAUAUUGAGAUCUUUAUUCCUCUCAAAAUUCAAUUCAGCUCGGUUGAGAUGUGAGAUGAAGAGUUGAUUGUAUGAAAGAAUAAGAGAGCAACUCUAAUAUUAUUCUACUAUUAACCUUACAAUCAUAAUACGCUUCUACUAAUAAAAUAUAUUGGAACUGUUUCUAAGUCAGGAAUCACCAAAGCAACUGCCACACGAACUUUUUCAUUUUUACUUACUAUAUUAUGAAAUUGAUAAAAUAAUAAUAUGCUAUAACUGAAAUAAUAGUACCGUAUGUAAAUCUAGAAUAUCAAUUUGGUAGUAUAUCCUCAAAAGGGAAUACCCCUAAGGGAUAACUUCCGGGCAAGUUAGAUCAUGAAUAAUCAUUCCGACAACCUAGUGCCACAAUAUUUUUCAGAAUUCAAUGAUAUCCAUGAAUCCAUGUAUUGAAAACACAAUCCAGUGAUUGCUGGCCUACCAAUGUGAAACGCAGCACGCUUCUCUGGUCCAAUCAGCUCCAUGAUCAUCAUCACGCAAGGAUUGCCACAUUCCGCUGCUUCCGUCAACUUAUCAAACAUCCAAUGCCAAUAUUUCCGACAGAAUCGAACCGGUAGCCGACUCAUUUCAUCCAGUCCUCACUUAGAGCGUCCUAAUGAGAUUGCACAUAUCAGGCCAAUAUGGACAAGGGAUGAACUAUAAAUCAUCAUUAGAUGCAGUUUUUAACGCGAUUUAUUAUAGCGACUAACAAAUAACAAGCCUCCACGGUAUGCUGCUAAUGAGGUUACGGAAGAUCACUGCUUCUGAAUAAAUGAAGCUCAAUCUUUCCUGGAAAUAACUACUGUUAACGUGCUGCUGGAUUACUAAUUAUCGAAAAAAAUAUGUUAUUAUGACUGUUUUGGAACGGGAAUUGUGGAUCUAAUCGUAUACCCUCUAAGCAUCAACUCUUAUCCUUGAAAUUGAUAUUGUUCUAUCUAUAUGUAAGUCAGGUAUUUUGAAGUUUUGAGAUGGUACAAAAAUAAAUGUGUUGUUAUUGAAUUAUGAAAGACUGUAGGGCACUCAGCUUUUAAUCAUAGAAAAGUUGUAUCUGCAAGAUUUUACAAAAAUGUCCAAAGAUUUUUAAAAUCCACUUCCCGGAUAAAAGGAGAGAAAGAAGUUCAAGGCACCAUAGAAUAUGACACAUAAUUGAUGAUUCCCUAUCUGAUCUGGUCAUAUUAAGUGUGAUUUGGAUAUUUUUGCUGAGGAUGACUCCUACACAUGAGUCAUACAAACAAAGAAUAGUGUUCGAGUGCUAAUCGAUGGGGGGGGGGCUGAGAUAUUAUUAUUCAUAUCUCAUUUUCAUCAAUUGUAUUCAGUUUUCAAUCUCAUAGAGAACAAUUUCAUUCCAAUUCAUUAAUAUAGUUUUUGCAAAACCCCUUUAACAUACAAACAAGCUACUAUCAAUCCAAUUGAAAAAACAUUCUAUAUUUUUUAUAACUGGGGAGCAUCGAAACACACUACACUCAAAUUAAAUCAACAAUACUUAGGCUACUCUCCAUUGGACAGGUAAAUGCUUUUUGGCUUGUUGAUCAGUACUACUAAUAACUUUCAAUUAUUGUACAUGUACAAUAUUGUAAAUUGUAUAUCACGAAAAAAAUAUUUUCGAUAGUAUGAGAGACAGGUGAGAGUGUAUGAAAUUAGAUUUUGACUUUGUUAAAAUCCGAAUAUAAUAAUAUUAAACAAUAAUGUGCUUUGGGAAAGGUUUUUAAGAAUAAAAGAUAAAAAGUGGUGUUGAUGAUAAUAAUAGCAAUAGAUGAGCUAAGCCUGAAAGCUUUCCUGAUAGAAUAAAAAAAUAAUAGACUAAUCACACUUUUGUGGAGAAACUCAUAAGGGAAUAACAUUAUUUGUUCGAAAUAAACGAAAUACAGAUUUAGAUCUUGGAAAGAGGCGUGAUAAUUCUUCGAUCGUAGAUCCAGAUCAUUUCGACAUGCUUUUACUUUACCUAUAACUUGAGCCUAAUAACUGCAAUAGGCCUAAAUAUAAAAACGGCCAGUAUUUAAAGGAGUUCAAGUUUAACUUACCUACUCGAGAAAGGUCUACAUAACGUAAUCCUUCACAAGGAGUAAAGUUCAAUGCUAACGCAAUCCAAUGACCAACAUUUUUAAACGUUCAAUCGUGGAUUAAUUUAUUCCAGGAACUAGUACUACCGUACCGUACAUACUGUACUAUAGAUCAAGUAGAAGUUGAAGCACGCCGCUAAUAAAAAUGUAGACACUACCCUUUCUUUGAAGCAUUGUUGCUUUAUGUAAUAAUUGGAUAUUGAAAUGUAUAAUAUCACAUAUAAUAUGAGUGGAAAAGAAUAGUUCAUUCAUAAACAAACAGUGAUGAGGAUAAUGAUAGGCCUACAUUUUAAUAGCGAUUUGUCUUGUGUUCAACUCAGUCAUAAAAAUAGUUUGGAUUGAGCUUGGUUUGUAUUCAUUGUAGAUUGUAGGCCUACUCUGUAAAUGCUAUAAAAUUGAUUGCUGAGUUGUAGUAGCUAUGUUUCAAAGAGUUGUAGAAUGCCGUUCGUCCAGGAGUACGGUGAGGAAUCCAACACAAGAGCUUUGUUAUUUGAUGAGAGUAUAUUAAGGAUAAUUGUUUGCUCAAAUUGAGCUGAGUUUGAAGGAUGGGAAUUAUGUAAGGCUGGCCACUAAUGGAAGAACAUGUCCAUCAUGACACGAAAAAUAUUCGUAUGGUUGUUAUUCCUGAUCUUCAUAAACGAUCUUUUCUGGGGUAACUUUAAUGGAUCGCUUGUCUCAUUUGCAGAUGAUACUGCUUUUUCAUAUUGUGGUGCAAACAGUGAGAGUUUAUUGACCGAACGAAGUGAGGUCUAAGAUUCAA